rnacentral:lncRNA from 1 species
CUAAUGGGAAUGGGCGUGGCCUGGGAGAAGUGGGCGUGGCCUAAUGGGAAUGGGCGUGGCCUGGGAGAAGUGGGCGUGGCCUGUGAUAGGUGGGCGUGGCCUGCAGACCGUGGUGCUCCAGCCCCCAUGGAGUGGGCAUGGCCUAAUGGGAGUGGGCGUGGCCAAAGGGGGCGUGGCCAACGGCGGCGGGUGUGGCCGAUUGGGAGUGGGCGUGGCCAAUGCAAAUGGGCAUGAGUCUAUGGGGCUGGACCCGUGGGAGGUGGGGGCGUGGCUUUAUGGGGGGCGUGGCUUUAUGGGGGGCGUGGCCAAUGCAAAUGAGCGUGAGUUUAUGGGGCUGGACUCGUGGGAGGUGGGGGCGUGGCUUCUAUGGGGGGCGUGGCCAACAGGAAUGGGCGUGGCCAAUGCAAAUGAGCACAACUUCCUGCAGGUUCAUGUCGCUCAACCGCAGGGGGUGGGGGCGUGGCCAAAGGGGGGCGUGGCCAAAGUGGGCGUGGCCAAAGGGGGGGGGACCGUGGCCAAAGGGAAUGGGCGUGGCCAAUGCAAAUGAGCACGACUUCCUGCGGGUUCAUGUCGCUCAACCGCAGGGGGUGGGGGCGUGGCCAAACGGGGGCGUGGCCAAACGGGGGGGGCGUGGCCAAAGGUGGUGGGCGUGGUCUAUAUGGGCGUGGCCAAAUGGGGGAGACCGUGGCCAAAGGGGGCGUGGCCAAAGGAAAUGGGCGUGGCCAAUGCAAAUGAGCACGACUUCCUGCAGGUUCAUGUCGCUCAACCGCAGGGGGUGGGGGCGUGGCCAAGUGCGGGGCGUGGCCAAAUGUGGGUGUGGUCUAUAUGGGCGUGGCAACACGGGGCGUGGCCAAUGCAAAUGGACCCGAGUCUACGGGGCUGGACCCUUGGGGGUGGGGGCGUGGCCUGUGAGGGGCGUGGCCAAGGGGGGGCGUGGCCAACGAUGGCAUGCGUGGCCUAUACGGGCGUGGAAAUACGGGGGCGUGGCCUAUUGGGAGUGGGCGUGGCCAAUGCAAAUGGGCAUGAGUUCACAUGGGCCUUGAUCCCUGGGGGUGAGGGGCGUUGCCAAACUGGGGCGUGGCCAACGGGAAUGGGCGUGGCCAAUGCAAACGGGCAUGACUUCCCAUGGGUUCAUGUCGCUCAACCGCAGGGGGUGGGGGCGUGACCAAACGGGGGGCGUGGCCAAACGGGGGGCGUGGCCAAAUUGGGGGGCGUGACCAAAUUGGGGGCGUGGCUAAAGGGAAUGGGCGUGGCCAAUGCAAAC